AAAUGACUCUCGGCAACGGAUAUCUCGGCUCUCGUAUCGAUGAAGAACGUAGCGAAAUGCGAUACUUGGUGUGAAUUGCAGAAUCCCGUGAACCAUCGAGUCUUUGAACGCAAGUUGCGCCUGAAGCCUUAUGGCUAAGGGCACGCCUGCCUGGGCGUCACACAU
rnacentral:rRNA from 2 species